AACGAACGCUGGCGGCGUGCUUAACACAUGCAAGUCGAACGCGAAAGGGACUUCGGUCCUGAGUAAAGUGGCGCACGGGUGAGUAACGCGUAGAUAACCUGUCCUUGUGUUCGGGAUAAUAUGCCGAAAGGUGUACUAAUACCGGAUAUUCUUGUUUUCCACAAGGUAUGCAAGCAAAGGUGGCCUCUGAUAUAAUCUACUGCAUAAGGAGGGGUCUGCGUACCAUUAGCUAGUAGGUGGGGUAAUGGCACACCUAGGCGACGAUGGUUAGCGGGUCUGAGAGGAUGAUCCGUCACACUGGGACUGAGACACGGCCCAGACUCCUACGGGAGGCAGCAGUGGGGAAUAUUGGACAAUGGGGGCAACCCUGAUCCAGCGAUGCCGCGUGAGUGAAGAAGGCCUUCGGGUCGUAAAGCUCUUUAGGUUGGGAAGAAGGGUAUUGGCUGAAUAAUCCAGUACUUUGACGGUACCGACAGAAUAAGCACCGGCAAACUCUGUGCCAGCAGCCGCCGUAACAC
rnacentral:rRNA from 1 species